rnacentral:rRNA from 1 species
UACGUAGGGUGCGAGCGUUAAUCGGAAUUACUGGGCGUAAAGCGUGCGUAGGUGGUUCGUUGUGUCUGUGGUGAAAGCCCCGGGCUUAACCUGGGAAUGGCCGUGGAAACUGGCGGGCUGGAGUGUGGCAGAGGGGGGUGGAAUUCCGCGUGUAGCAGUGAAAUGCGUAGAGAUGCGGAGGAACACCGAUGGCGAAGGCAGCCCCCUGGGCUAACACUGACGCUGAGGCACGAAAGCGUGGGGAGCAAACAGG